GCGGCGGCUCUUCCGCCCUGAAGUGGCCUUGACGCCUCCCGGCCGCCGUAGGCGGAGGUUGGGGGCCGGUGGCCCCGGGCGCCCACUUGGGUGCCCCCAGCCCCGCGGGGCCGUGGGCCUGAGGACGCUCGGCGGGCACAGGCCUGGUCAUUCGUUCGUCCAUUCAUUCACUCACUCCUUGAGCUGACUCAGGAAUAGAGAUGGGUUGUCUGCGGAUCCUAGAACAAGUUCUGGAGAUGGUGAACAGAUGGCCAAGCAGUAUUGCCAUAAUCCUCGAUAGCAAGAGGCAGCUUACCUUGUGGAAACUUGGGCCUCUCUUCUGACGACUGUAGGGAUUAAGAGAACAAGGGCGCUCAUUUGAGAACCCUGACUUCAGAAUGCAGGUGAACUCAGAUUUCUACAAAUUGGCCUGGCAAACUGUGACUCCGUCCCCUCUCCCCGAGGUGGACAGCGCCCCCCAGUGGAAAUGAAGGUGAGUGCUCCUCCCGUCCCCCACUGGCCGGGGCCACACUGAAUGUACAUGUUUGCCAUUUCCCUGUGAGGUUGCAGCCGACCGAGGGUCUGCAAAAUUGCCUGAAAUUCUGAAACCAAAUAAUGUAAGGGGAGGACUAGUUCCUAUGAAUAGCAGACAUGUUUUAUUAUCUCAAUUGUAAUCCUUUUAACAUGACUCCAAAGCAGUUCUCUGGUUCAG